rnacentral:rRNA from 1 species
AUACGGAGGGUGCAAGCGUUAAUCGGAAUUACUGGGCGUAAAGCGUACGUAAGCGGUUAUUUAAGUCAGAUGUGAAAGCCCCGGGCUUAACUUGGGAACUGCAUUUGAAACUGGCGGACUAGAGUUGAGUAGAGGGGAGUGGAAUUUCAGGUGUAGCGGUGAAAUGCGUAGAGAUCUGAAGGAACACCAGUGGCGAAGGCGACUCCCUGGACUCGAACUGACGCUGAGGUACGAAAGCGUGGGUAGCAAACGGGAUUAGAUACCCCAGUAGUCC